UCGGGUUGUAAAGCACUUUUGUCCGGAAAGAAAUCCUUGAUCCUAAUAUGGUCGGGGGAUGACGGUACCGGAAGAAUAAGCACCGGCUAACUACGUGCCAGCAGCCGCGGUAAUACGUAGGGUGCGAGCGUUAAUCGGAAUUACUGGGCGUAAAGCGUGCGCAGGCGGUUCGCUAAGACCGAUGUGAAAUCCCCGGGCUUAACCUGGGAACUGCAUUGGUGACUGGCGAGCUAGAGUGUGGCAGAGGGGGGUAGAAUUCCACGUGUAGCAGUGAAAUGCGUAGAGAUGUGGAGGAAUACCGAUGGCGAAGGCAGCCCCUGGGCUAACACUGACGCUCAUGCACGAAAGCGUGGGGAGCAAACAGGAUUAGAUACCCUGGUAGUCCACGCCCUAAACGAUGUCAACUAGUUGUUGGGGAUUCAUUUCCUUAGUAACGUAGCUAACGCGUGAAGUUGACCGCCUGGGGAGUACGGUCGCAAGAUUAAAACUCAAAGGAAUUGACGGGGACCCGCACAAGCGGUGGAUGAUGUGGAUUAAUUCGAUGCAACGCGAAAAACCUUACCUACCCUUGACAUGGACGGAAUCUUGCUG
rnacentral:rRNA from 1 species